GCUCCGGUAGUAUAGCCCGGACAAGUAUACAGGCUCCCCCAGCCAGGGACCCGGGUUCAAAUCCCGGCCGGAGCA
rnacentral:tRNA from 1 species